CAAACCUUUGCGCACUCAGUCUGGAUGAAGAGAGUGGUAAACUGGUGUAUAGCGAAGAACUGGAGCAUAGCCCUAGAUGAAGUUGCAGCCAGCUGUGCACUGUACCUGAGGAAGCAAGUGCACUGGGGUCCCCAACCCCAUAAGGGUGAUUUAUCAGUGACGAGUGUACAAGUUACUGACAGUCUAACACUUCUGAAUUACUGUUCUAAUUUUUGGUGAAAUAAAGGCAUUUGCUAUUAAAAACUUA